rnacentral:tRNA from 1 species
CAAAGUGUAGCUUAAUUAAAGCAUCCAGCUUACACCCGGAAGAUUUCAAAUUUACUGACCACUUUGA